CCUACGGGAGGCAGCAGUGGGGAAUUUUCCGCAAUGGGCGAAAGCCUGACGGAGUAACGCCGCGUGAGGGAUGAAGGCCUCUGGGCUGUAAACCUCUUUUAUCAAGAAAGAAGAUCUGACGGUACUUGAUGAAUAAGCCACGGCUAAUUCCGUGCCAGCAGCCGCGGUAAUACGGGAGUGGCAAGCGUUAUCCGGAAUUAUUGGGCGUAAAGCGUCCGCAGGCGGUCUGUCAAGUCUGCUGUUAAAGCGUGGAGCUUAACUCCAUUUCGGCAGUGGAAACUGACAGACUAGAGUGUGGUAGGGGCAGAGGGAAUUCCCGGUGUAGCGGUGAAAUGCGUAGAUAUCGGGAAGAACACCAGUGGCGAAGGCGCUCUGCUGGGCCAUAACUGACGCUCAUGGACGAAAGCCAGGGGAGCGAAAGGGAUUAGAUACCCCUGUAGUCCUGGCCGUAAACGAUGAACACUAGGUGUCGGGGGAAUCGACCCCCUCGGUGUCGUAGCCAACGCGUUAAGUGUUCCGCCUGGGGAGUACGCACGCAAGUGUGAAACUCAAAGGAAUUGACGG
rnacentral:rRNA from 1 species